GGUCAUCAUUUUGGUUUACUCCUUCCUCCGGAAAGCUGCGUGGGACUACGGGCGCCUGGCUCUGCUGAUACACAAUGACAGCUUGACCUCACUGAUCUAUGGGGAGCAGAGUGAGAAGACAUCUCCCUCGGAUAUUUCUCUGGAGAUGGAGCACAAGGACAAGGGCUUCUAUUCCUGGUUCUUCAACACAGUCACCAUGAAGUAA